rnacentral:rRNA from 1 species
UACGUAGGGACCAAGCGUUGUUCGGAUUUACUGGGCGUAAAGGGCGCGUAGGCGGCAAUUCAAGUCAGUUGUGAAAUCUCCGAGCUUAACUCGGAGCGGUCAACUGAUACUGUUUUGCUAGAGUACAGAAGGGGCAAUCGGAAUUCUUGGUGUAGCGGUGAAAUGCGUAGAUAUCAAGAGGAACACCUGAGGUGAAGACGGGUUGCUGGGCUGAUACUGACGCUGAGGCGCGAAAGCUAGGGUAGCAAACGGG